UACGUAGGGACCGAGCGUUGUCCGGAAUCAUUGGGCGUAAAGAGCGUGUAGGCGGCUAUUUAAGUCCUGCGUGAAAUCCUGCGGCUCAACCGCAGACGGUCGUGGGAAACUGGAUGGCUAGAGUGCGGGAGAGGAUAGUGGAAUUCCCAGUGUAGAGGUGAAAUUCGUAGAUAUUGGGAAGAACACCGGUGGCGAAGGCGGCUAUCUGGCCCGUAAUUGACGCUGAGGCGCGAAAGCGUGGGGAGCAAACAGG
rnacentral:rRNA from 1 species